GACGAACGCUGGCGGCGUGCUUAACACAUGCAAGUCGAACGGAAAGGCCCUGCUUGCAGGGUGCUCGAGUGGCGAACGGGUGAGUAACACGUGGGUGAUCUGCCCCUUACUUUGGGAUAAGCCUGGGAAACUGGGUCUAAUACUGGAUAGGACCAUGCUGUAGGUGGUGUGGUGGAAAGAUUAGUUUCGGUAAGGGAUGAGCUCGCGGCCUAUCAGCUUGUUGGUGGGUUAAUGGCCUACCAAGGCGUCGACGGGUAGCCGGCCUGAGAGGGUGGACGGCCACAUUGGGACUGAGAUACGGCCCAGACUCCUACGGGAGGCAGCAGUGGGGAAUAUUGCACAAUGGGCGCAAGCCUGAUGCAGCGACGCCGCGGGGGGGAUGACGGCCUUCGGGUUGUAAACUCCUUUCAGCCAUGACGAAGCCCUUGUGGUGACGGUAGUGGUAGAAGAAGCACCGGCUAACUACGUG
rnacentral:rRNA from 1 species